ACUCCUACGGGAGGCAGCAGUGGGAAUCUUGGGACAAUGGGGGCACCCUGAUCCAGCCAUGCCGCGUGAGUGAUGAAGGCCUUAGGGUCGUAAAGCUCUUUCGCCUGUGAAGAUAAUGACGGUAGCAGGUAAAGAAACCCGCGUAAUCCGUGCCAGCAGCCGCGGUAAUACGGAGGGGGUUAGCGUUGUUCGGAAUUACUGGGCGUAAAGCGCACGUAGGCGGAUCGGAAAGUUGGGGGUG
rnacentral:rRNA from 1 species